rnacentral:tRNA from 2 species
CGGGAUGUAGCGCAGUUUGGUAGCGCGCUGGUUUCGGGUACCAGAGGUCGUGGGUUCAAAUCCCGCCAUCCCGA